rnacentral:rRNA from 1 species
CUACGGGGGGCAGCAGUGGGGGAUAUUGCACAAUGGGGGGAACCCUGAUGCAGCGACGCCGCGUGGGCGAUGGAGUGCUUCGGCAUGUAAAGCCCUAUCAGCAGGGAAGAAAAUGACGGUACCUGACUAAGAAGCCCCGGCUAAAUACGUGCCAGCAGCCGCGGUAAUACGUAUGGGGCAAGCGUUAUCCGGAUUUACUGGGUGUAAAGGGAGCGUAGGCGGCCUGGCAAGCCUGAUGUGAAAUACCGGGGCCCAACCCCGGGGCUGCAUUGGGAACUGCCAGGGUGGAGUGGCGGAGAGGCAGGCGGAAUUCCUAGUGUAGCGGUGAAAUGCGUAGAUAUUAGGAGGAACACUCGUGGUGAAGGCGGGUUCCUGGACAUUAACUGACGCUGAGGCACGAAGGCCAGGGGAGCGAAAGGGAGUAGAUACCCCAGUAGUC